rnacentral:rRNA from 1 species
GCUACGGGUGGCAGCAGUAGGGAAUCUUUCACAAUGGGCGAAAGCCUGAUGGAGCAACGCCGCGUGCAGGAUGAAGGCCUUCGGGUUGUAAACUGCUUUUAUAAGCGAGAAAUAUGAUGGUAACUUAUGAAUAAGGAUCGGCUAACUACGUGCCAGCAGCCGCGGUCAUACGUAGGAUCCGAGCAUUAUCCGGAUUGACUGGGGGUAAAGAGUUGCGUAGGUGGCAUAAUAAGUAGCUAGGGAAAUCUGGUGGCUCAACAAUUCAAACUAUUAGCUAAACUGUUAAGAUCGAGGCCGUUAGGGGUAACUGGAAUUUGUAGUGUAGGGGUGAAAUCCGUAGAUAUUAGAAAGAACACCGAUGGCGAAGGCAGGGUACUGGGACGGUUCUGACACUAAGGCACGAAAGCGUAGGGAGCAAACGGGAUUAGAUACCCUUGUAGUC